GUGCGAGACCGAUAGCGAACAAGUACCGUGAGGAAAAGAUGAAAAGAACUUUGAAAAGAGAGUUAAAGAGUACCUGAAACUGCUGAAAGGGAAGCGAAUCGUAUCCAGUGUCUAUAAUCUGCGGCAUAUUUCAAUGGCGGCGGUGCGCGUGCUUUUGCGUCGGAAGCGGCUUUUGUUGCUCUGUGCUUUUGCUGUGCGUGGUGUUGCUGGUGCCCUGUGUUGCGGUGGGACGUCAGAGUCAGUUUGUAUGCUGCGGGAAAUGGCUGCCGAGGAGGUAGGUCGAGAUUUCGGUCUUGGCUGUUAUAUCUUGGUGGUUUGUUGUCGUGGUUGAGACUGAGGUGCCUACAAUGUGCUUUUGAGUGUACCGGGUUCUCAUUUGGUGGACUGUUUGGAUAGCUUGCUAUGCUUGUGGUUUUUUCAUCGGGUGAUUGAGUCUGGUGGUAACUUGUUGCUGUUCGGGACUUUG
rnacentral:rRNA from 2 species